UGAGGGAUGACGGCCUUUCGGGUUGUAAACCUCUUUCAGCAGGGAAGAAGCGCAAGUGACGGUACCUGCAGAAGAAGCACCGGCUAACUACGUGCCAGCAGCCGCGGUAAUACGUAGGGUGCGAGCGUUGUCCGGAAUUAUUGGGCGUAAAGAGCUCGUAGGCGGCCUGUCGCGUCGGAUGUGAAAGCCCGGGGCUUAACCCCGGGUCUGCAUUCGAUACGGGCAGGCUAGAGUGUGGUAGGGGAGAUCGGAAUUCCUGGUGUAGCGGUGAAAUGCGCAGAUAUCAGGAGGAACACCGGUGGCGAAGGCGGAUCUCUGGGCCAUUACUGACGCUGAGGAGCGAAAGCGUGGGGAGCGAACAGGAUUAGAUACCCUGGUAGUCCACGCCGUAAACGUUGGGAACUAGGUGUUGGCGACAUUCCACGUCGUCGGUGCCGCAGCUAACGCAUUAAGUUCCCCGCCUGGGGAGUACGGCCGCAAGGCUAAAACUCAAAGGAAUUGACGGGGGCCCGCACAAGCAGCGGAGCAUGUGGCUUAAUUCGACGCAACGCGAAGAACCUUACCAAGGCUUGACAUAUGCCGGAAACAUCCAGAGAUGGGUGCCCCCUUGUGGUCGGUAUACAGGU
rnacentral:rRNA from 1 species